rnacentral:misc_RNA from 1 species
CAAAUGCGAUACGCAAUGCGAAUUGCAGAAUUCCGCGAGUCAUCAGAUCUUUGAACGCAAGUGGCGCUGGGUUAACCAAUACCCCAGCAUGUUUGUUUCAGUGUGUUAGGAAUCAUAAAUCUUAAUGCGGUUGAAUAUAUUAACGUAUUUUCUCCCGUUAAACAUGAAAGCGCUGAAUCGUUUCAGUGCCGACCGAAGUAGUCACUUCUUGUAAGUGAUCUCGGUUGUGCUAAUAACUGAAGAUUCAUCUACAAGCGUCUUUUUAAUAUUAAAUCUAUAUUCUCCAUUCAACACCUGAAAUCAGGCGGGACUACCCGCUGAGUUUAA